rnacentral:rRNA from 1 species
GAUGAACGCUGGCGGCGUGCCUAAUACAUGCAAGUCGAGCGAACGGACGAGAAGCUUGCUUCUCUGAUGUUAGCGGCGGACGGGUGAGUAACACGUGGAUAACCUACCUAUAAGACUGGGAUAACUUCGGGAAACCGUAGCUAAUACCGGAUAAUAUUUUGAACCGCAUGGUUCAAAAGUGAAAGACGGUCUUGCUGUCACUUAUAGAUGGAUCCGCGCUGCAUUAGCUAGUUGGUAAGGUAACGGCUUACCAAGGCAACGAUGCGUAGCCGACCGGAGAGGGGGAUAGGCGACAUGGGAGCUGAGACACGGUCCUGAGUCCUACGGGAGGCAGCAGUAGGGAAUCUUCCGCAGAGGGCGAAAGCCUGGCGGAGCAACGCCGCGUGAGUGAUGAAGGUCUUCAGAUCGUAAAACUCUGUUAUUAGGGAAGAACAUAUGUGUAAGUAACUGUGCACAUCUUGACGGUACCUAAUCAGAAAGCCACGGCUAACUACGUG